rnacentral:rRNA from 1 species
AUUGAACGCUGGCGGCAGGCCUAACACAUGCAAGUCGAGCGGAUGAAGGGAGCUUGCUCCUGGAUUCAGCGGCGGACGGGUGAGUAAUGCCUAGGAAUCUGCCUGGCAGUGGGGGAUAACGUCCGGAAACGGGCGCUAAUACCGCAUACGGCCUGAGGGAGAAAGUGGGGGAUCUUCGGACCUCACGCUAUCAGAUGAGCCUAGGUCGGAUUAGCUAGUUGGUGGGGUAAAGGCCUACCAAGGCGACGAUCCGUAACUGGUCUGAGAGGAUGAUCAGUCACACUGGAACUGAGACACGGUCCAGACUCCUACGGGAGGCAGCAGUGGGGAAUAUUGGACAAUGGGCGAAAGCCUGAUCCAGCCAUGCCGCGUGUGUGAAGAAGGUCUUCGGAUUGUAAAGCACUUUAAGUUGGGAUGAAGGGCAGUAAGUUAAUACCUUGCUUUUUUGACGGUACCAACAGAAUAAGCACCGGCUAACUUCGUG